rnacentral:rRNA from 1 species
AAUGAACGUUGGCGGCGUGGAUUAGGCAUGCAAGUCGAACGGCAGCACGGGAGCAAUCCUGGUGGCGAGUGGCGAACGGGUGAGUAAUAUAUCGGAACGUGCCCAGUCGUGGGGGAUAACGCAGCGAAAGCUGUGCUAAUACCGCAUACGAUCUCUGGAUGAAAGCGGGGGACUCGCAAGGGCCUCGCGCGAUUGGAGCGGCCGAUAUCAGAUUAGCUAGUUGGCGGGGGUAAAGGCCCACCAAGGCGACGAUCUGUAGCUGGUCUGAGAGGACGACCAGCCACACUGGAACUGAGACACGGUCCAGACUCCUACGGGAGGCAGCAGUGGGGAAUUUUUGGACAAUGGGCGCAAGCCUGAUCCAGCAAUGCCGCGUGCAGGAUGAAGGCC